rnacentral:rRNA from 1 species
UACAGAGGGUGCGAGCGUUAAUCGGAAUUACUGGGCGUAAAGCGUGCGUAGACGGUUAUUUAAGUCAGAUGUGAAAGCCCCGGGCUCAACCUGGGAAUUGCAUUUGAGACUGAAUAGCUAGGGUGCGGUAGAGGGAAGCGGAAUUUCCGGUGUAGCGGUGAAAUGCGUAGAUAUCAGGAGGAACACCAAUUGCGAAGGCAGCUCGCUGGGACGUUACUGACGCUGAGACGCGAAAGCGUGGGGAGCAAACAGG